AUGAUGCAGGAUCGACUAUGUCGAAUAAAAUUCUAGGUAGAAUUUUGAUAAUGACAUUGUCUGCCUAUGUGUCUUGACCAAAUUACGUGCCAGCAGUCGCGGUAAUACGUAGAAGACUAGUGUUAUUCAUGUUUAAUCGGUUUAAAGGGUACCUAGACGGUAAAUCAAGCCUAAAAUUAAGUGAAGGGACUAAUUUACUAGAGUUACUUAUGAGGGGGUAUUAAAGUACUGCUGGUGUAGAGAUGAAAUUCUGUCAUACCUCUUUUCAAUAGAAAAAUAACGGCACAGGUAUAGGCGAAAGCAUCCCCUUAUGUGAUAACUGACGUUGAGGGACGAAGGCUUUGUGUAGCGAACAGGAUUAGAUACCCCAGUAGUCAAAGCAGAAAAUGAUGAAUGUCAUAGAUUAGAUAUAUAAGUUUAUUCUAUAAAUGAAAGUGUAAGCAUUCCACCUCAAGAGUAAUUUGGCAACAUUGGAACUGAAAUCAUUAGACCGUUUCUGAAACCAGUAGUGAAGUAUGUUGUUUAAUUUGAUGAUCCGCAAAAAACCUUACCACAAUUUGAAUAUUUAUAUCUUUUAUUGUUUUUUUUUAUUUUUC
rnacentral:rRNA from 1 species